GCCUAACCAGAGAGCUGUGGCCUUUUUUUCUCAAGCUUUUCCUUUUGUCGCCACCACUUAGUAGGAAAACCAUGGGAAGUGACUUGCGGAUGGGAGUUGGAAUAAUUGAGGGUUGUAGAGAUCAAGAGUGUGAAAUACAUGCCUUUCUACUUGUCCCUAUUCUCAUUUCUCGCAAGUUUACUUCGGAUGACUUACGGGUUGCUGGGCCACGACAUCAUCCUUGCAGUACCAAAUUUUGUUGGCUGCCCACUGGCCCUUUUGCAACUUGUGAUCUUCUUCAUUUAUAGAAAGAAUAAGGGGUACAUGGUGGAAUCUCAAAUAUCGGAUGUGGAGAAGAAGGCCGAUAUGGGGAACCCAAACAUGACAAAAACUCAAAAUGUGGACUUAGAGAAGGCAAUCAUAGAUCUAGAAAUGACAUUCGAGGUGCGAGCCAAAGAUGGAAACACAUUCAAUCAACCCACUAACUGUUAGUUGAUAAUGACUGUGGAUAAGUGAGGUACAAGGGAAUUCACUGAAAGGCAAUGCAUUGGGCAA